rnacentral:rRNA from 1 species
GUGCCAGCCGCCGCGGUAAUACGAAGGGGGCUAGCGUUGCUCGGAAUCACUGGGCGUAAAGGGUGCGUAGGCGGGUCUUUAAGUCAGGGGUGAAAUCCUGGAGCUCAACUCCAGAACUGCCUUUGAUACUGAAGAUCUUGAGUUCGGGAGAGGUGAGUGGAACUGCGAGUGUAGAGGUGAAAUUCGUAGAUAUUCGCAAGAACACCAGUGGCGAAGGCGGCUCACUGGCCCGAUACUGACGCUGAGGCACGAAAGCGUGGGGAGCAAACAGGAUUAGAAACCCCCGUAGUCC